UACGUAGGUGGCAAGCGUUGUCCGGAUUUACUGGGCGUAAAGAGCGCGCAGGCGGCCGAGUAAGUCGAAAUGUGAAAAGCCCCCGGCUCAACUGGGGAAGGUCAUUCGAUACUGUUCGGCUUGAAGAUAGGAGAGGGAAGCGGAAUUUCAGGUGUAGUGGUGAAAUGCGUAGAUAUCUGGAGGAACACCGGUGGCGAAGGCGGCAUUCUGGACUGCAACUGACACUGAAAGACGAAGCCAGGGGAGCAAACGGG
rnacentral:rRNA from 1 species